ACUGGUUUUACAAGAUUAAAUGUAGGGGAAGAUGGAGCUGCCUGGGGUGCUACUGUCUGGAAACUCACCCAGCGACCAGAAUCAACAGUAGAGGCAUCAGAUUCAUCACAUUCCGGUAUUGUGGCAGGUGUAAGAUGGUUGCGGCGAGUAGGACUAGAGGGGGCUGAUACGGCAAAUAGAGGGUGGCGGAAGGAAUUCAGGGAGCCAUUUGAGAAGGAUUCCCAGUCAGGUUUCCGCUUUGAACCUCUCGAAGUAGGGGAAGAAAGAGGCGGGGUUACAGGAGCACUGUUGGAUAUUCGAAGAGGUGGGAGAGAUGUAGGAAUCGAGGCUAAAUUACGGAGGAAAGGGAGGAGGUAUGAAGAGGGGUUUCCAUCAAACCGAGUGGGGCUCGGGAAAGAGGAGGACGAUGGGCUGGCAUGGUAAGAGGGUACAGGACUUGGGAAGGAUGAG
rnacentral:lncRNA from 1 species